UAGAUAGACAAGAGACUUGGAAUGCAAGGUGUGGACAACCAAGAUAAAGUUAACACUGUGUGUACUGAAGGGAAGGGUGUGUGUGUGUGAAUGGUCUGGAGUGUAAAGGUCAGAGAGUCAAGUUCACUCCCUAAGGAAAAACAUUUCUGGUUUAUAAGUGUGUGCACAGUAUUGUAUCUAGAUUAACUGGCCAAUAAUCUGUUUUCCAGUAUCUGAGUACUUGUCUGUGGUGACAGUCUGUAGUUUCUCACACAUCCACAUAUACAACUUUGACGCUCUUCUCCUCUCCACAGGGCAUCUGGUGCAGGCCUUAAUCCCAAAGUAGCCUGAUGGUUGAGAGCAAGUGAGUGUGUCCAGGCAGACUGGAGCUUAUCUGCUGGAGAAAAAAAAAGCCUGUCCGUGCUUGCUGUUAACACGUCUCGUUCCUGCUCAACUCUGGGAGCUGUGCAGGGUGACCUGGGUUAAUUGCAGCUGCAGAGAUGAACAGCCUGGGUCACCUUCGCUACGAAAGAGAUGGGGAAAAAAUGAGGGCCCACUAAUGUGUGCCACUUACCUACCCGGCAAGUGGCAUUAGUGCACUGGCCCUCCAUUUCCCAGCAGUGCACAUGGAGCCUCGCUUGCUCAGAACUCAGUUCUUUUGAAGGCUUGUUCAACUUACAGUAGGUAAGUCUUUUAGGUCAUCUACUUCUGUAAAUUUUUUAACUUUUUUUUCCGAUGGGUUACAAGUUCUAAUUAUAAGGAUGUGUGUGGAGAAUCUUUUCUUCCUUUCUUUUCGUCUCUCUCUUUCUCUCACAUUAUCAAGCCAACUCUGUUACUGAGAACAGGCCCAGAUUCCGGGCCCUUGAGAUGAGCUGUACUACUUUAAAUUGCCUACACAAACCCAUCUCUUUUUGACACCUAGUAGCUGUCUGUAGCCCAUUACUGACUGUAUUUCUGAUAACUCAGCUUUAUGUAAAUGAUAAAAAAUUCUACUCAAACAACUGAG
ensembl:lncRNA